GUCAACUGAGCAUACUGAUCAACAGAGCAUACUGACAACCUAAUAUUAAAAUUAUAACUAGGCUUCCUCCACAUGAUAAGGGGCACCCACCUGUGAGACCCACACCU